rnacentral:misc_RNA from 1 species
AUAUACUCAAAACUUAUGUUUUGGUAAUGGGCAUGUAUCUGGCGCCAGCUAGAUUUGCCUGAAAUAUAGUGGUAGAGAUCGCUAGAGGUGAUGCAAGUUAGCCGAUGCUAUUAAAGUUAAUUCGUUGGUGACACAUGCUGAGCUUUUGGUGAAGUCUUCCUUAAUUAUUGGAAUUUUUUCUAA